UAAGCAAUUAUACCGUGAAACUGCGAAUGGCUCAUUAAAUCAGUUAUCGUUUAUUUGAUAAUACCUUACUACUUGGAUAACCGUGGUAAUUCUAGAGCUAAUACAUGCUGAAAAUCCCGACUUCGGAAGGGAUGUGUUUAUUAGAUAAAAAACCAAUGCCCUUCGGGGCUUUUUGGUGAUUCAUGAUAACUUUACGGAUCGCAUAGCCUUGCGCUGGCGACGGUUCAUUCAAAUUUCUGCCCUAUCAACUUUCGAUGGUAAGGUAUUGGCUUACCAUGGUUUCAACGGGUAACGGGGAAUUAGGGUUCGAUUCCGGAGAGGGAGCCUGAGAAACGGCUACCACAUCCAAGGAAGGCAGCAGGCGCGCAAAUUACCCAAUCCCGACACGGGGAGGUAGUGACAAUAAAUACUGAUACAGGGCUCUUUUGGGUCUUGUAAUUGGAAUGAGUACAAUUUAAACCUCUUAACGAGGAACAAUUGGAGGGCAAGUCUGGUGCCAGCAGCCGCGGUAAUUCCAGCUCCAAUAGCGUAUAUUAAAGUUGUUGCAGUUAAAAAGCUCGUAGUUGAAACUUGGGCCUGGCUGGCGGGUCCGCCUCACCGCGUGCACUCGUCCGGCCGGGCCUUCCUUCUGAAGAACCUCAUGCCCUUCACUGGGCGUGCUGGGGAAUCAGGACUUUUACUUUGAAAAAAUUAGAGUGUUCAAAGCAGGCCUUUGCUCGAAUACGUUAGCAUGGAAUAAUAAAAUAGGGCGUGCGUUUCUUUUUUGUUGGUUUCU
rnacentral:rRNA from 1 species